rnacentral:rRNA from 1 species
UACGGAGGGUGCGAGCGUUGUCCGGAAUCAUUGGGCGUAAAGAGCGUGUAGGUGGCUCGGUAAGUCCGCUGUGAAAGUCCAGGGCUCAACCCUGGAAAGCCGGUGGAAACUGUCGAGCUCGAGUCCGGAAGAGGCGAGUGGAAUUCCUGGUGUAGCGGUGAAAUGCGCAGAUAUCAGGAGGAACACCAAUGGCGAAGGCAGCUCGCUGGGACGGUACUGACACUGAGACGCGAAAGCGUGGGGAGCAAACAGG